AUUAUUAGAAAUGAAAUGUUAUUCGUUUAUAAAGAUAUCUAGUUUUUUUAGAAAUAAAUUUAAUUUAAAAAUUUUUAAUUUUAUUAAUUAAUUGUAUUAAUUAAUAAAUUUAUAAAUUUAAAUAUUUUAAGGGAUAAGCUUUAGAAUAAAUUUUUAUAAAUUAAUAAAUGAUAAUUAAAAUUAUAUGCAUAGAAUUAGUAAUUAUUAAAAAUUUUGUUAUAAAUUAUUUUAUAAAAUAUAUUAUUUAUUAUAAUUUUAAAUUUUUAUAAAAAUAUUUUUUUUAAUUUUAUUUAAAAAGUAAUAAUGAUAAAAUUAGUAUAUUUAUAUUAUGUAAAUAUAAUUUAUUUUGAUAAGUUUAUAUAAAGAACUCGGCAAAUAUUUUACUCGCCUGUUUAACAAAAACAUGUCUUUUUGUGUUAUUUUUAAAGUCUAACCUGCCCAAUGAAUAAAUUUUAAUGGCCGCAGUAUUUUGACUGUGCAAAGGUAGCAUAAUCAUUAGUCUUUUAAUUGAAGGCUUGAAUGAAUGGUUGGACGAAGUAUAAUCUGUUUCAUUUAAAUUUAUUAUAGAAUUUUAUAUUUUAGUAAAAAAGCUGAAAUAUUUUUAAAAGACGAGAAGACCCUAUAAAUCUUUAUAAUUUAUAUUAUUUUUAUUUUUUAUAUUUAUUUUAUUUAAAUAAUUUGAAUUAUUUUGUUGGGGUGAUAUUAAAAUUUAAUAAACUUUUAAUUUAAUUAUUUCAUAAAUUUAUGUUUUAUUGAUCCAUUAAUAAUGAUUAAAAGAAUAAGUUACUUUAGGGAUAACAGCGUAAUUUUUUUGGAGAGUUCUUAUUGAUAAAAAAGUUUGCGACCUCGAUGUUGGAUUAAGAUAUAAUUUUAGGUGUA
rnacentral:rRNA from 1 species